rnacentral:rRNA from 1 species
AUACGUAGGUGGCGAGGCGUUGUCCGGAAUUAUUGGGCGUAAAGGGAUGCGUAGGUGGAUAUUUAAGUGGGAUGUGAAAUCCCCGGGCUCAACCCGGGAACUGCAUUCCAUACUGGAUAUCUAGAGUGCAGGAGAGGAAAGCGGAAUUCCUAGUGUAGCGGUGAAAUGCGUAGAUAUUAGGAGGAACACCAGUGGCGAAGGCGGCUUUCUGGACUGUAACUGACACUGAGGCAUGAAAGCGUGGGUAGC